UGCAUUCCCUGGGUUCCCUGUAGGCUGGAUCCCCGGUGGGGCUUAGUCAAUCGGAGGCAUUAACGUGAGGCUGGAAGGCAGAAGAAGAGAGGGGCUGGGUGUUUCUCCUCAGCUCCCCGCCUGCCCAGCACGCGGCCACGUCCACACUCACCCUGCCGAAUUGUGCACUUGGUCUCAUCUGCCCCCCGUAGCUUACACUCUGAGUUUGAAUCCACAUCUGGCCUACGAGCCCCUCAUGUGGUUUUCCCAGUGCAGUUGGCAUCUGGACGCCAUUCAGACGCCCCCAAUUGGGCCCAAGCCUCGCCACUCCCUGUGGCCCACCUCAAGGUCGCUGUACAAUCUUUGGGCUCUGCUUGACCCCGCAGAACCCCGAGUCUGGGGCCUCUCGAUAAAGACAAGUGUAGAGGAGGACUUGCCACUGGCUAUUCAGGCAUAAAAACUGCUUGGAACGGGGAUAAAGCAAGUCUUACUUUUCCAACAAACUUACGCUGUUGAGUUUUAAUAAUAAACUUGGCGUGUUAUCAUGUAUAUUUUUGCCUGUCUGAAACAACCCUGCCUCCUGAAGCAAGUCUCUAGCUGCCGUGAAGACAGGAAGUACCCCAAGUCGGGGCUCUCACGCGGUGCAGCCAGUCCCUGGAAGCAGCACCCACUCUUGUGAGGUUAACCGUAGCCACCAAGCCCGGCCAGGCACGCUCUGGCCUUUAGCUGCAACAGUCGCAUCACAAAUGGCUAACUCAUGAACCCACACCGAGACGCACACGGGUCACUCUGUGAGAUGGUGGAGACCGCAGGUGGGCUCUUUCCAGGGAGACGCGAUUGCGUCGGAAGAUGGCAAAACACAUCCCGUUCGGCCCGUUCUGGAAAUUCUCCAGGGACAUACGCCAGUUCCGGCAGUCCUCAGGGGGCCUGUGAGAGCCAGGAGGCCGUUAGCUUCCACAGGACCGGCCCAAGCAAGAGGCCUCUGCGCCGUUCUCUUACCCUGGCCAAAGUCGUGGAGGUUGAGGGCUCAGAGGCUGAGACUGGGGGAUAA
ensembl:lncRNA